rnacentral:rRNA from 1 species
GCAUAUCAAUAAGCGGAGGAAAAGAAAAUAACAAUGAUUCCCCUAGUAACUGCGAGUGAAGAGGGACAAGCUCAAAUUUUAAAUCUGUUAGGCUUACCUAACCGAGUUGUAAUUUGAAGAGGCGUUUUCUGUGUUUCUGAUCAUCCCAAGUCCUUUGGGAUAGGGCAUCAUGGAGGGUGAGAAUCCCGUUCGGUUGAUCAGAUUCGCUUUACGAUACGUCAUCUAAGAGUCAAGUUGUUUGGGAUUGCAGCUUAAAAUGGGAGGUAAAUUUCUCCUAAGGCUAAAUAACGGCGAGAGACCGAUAGCGAACAAGUACCGUGAGGGAAAGAUGAAAAGAACUUUGAAAAGAGAGUUAAACAGUACGUGAAAUUGUUGAAAGGGAAACGAUUGAAGCCAGCCGUACCUUCGGGUAAUCAGCCUUUCGGGUGCGAUUCUGUGGAGCGUGAGGAGUUAAACGCCUUCAUGCCUGCAUAUUCGUGCACUUUGGGUGUACUUGCCCGUGUGGUAGGUUAACAUCAAUUUCGGAUAUCAUAAAAUGGCUGGAGGAAUGUAGCUUCGGUCUCGUAUUGAAGUGUUAUAGCCUCUGGUAGAUGUGAUGACCGGGAUUGAGGAUUGCAACGAAUACCUUUUGGGCUACCCGCCUGAUCUCUGAAAGUUGCUCUGGUGCCGAAAGCUUGCUUACGGUUAUCAAAGUUGACGUUCAAAAGGUUAGAACGGGUUAAAUUCGUUAAGGAUGUUGACGUA